rnacentral:rRNA from 1 species
GACGAACGCUGGCGGCGUGCUUAACACAUGCAAGUCGAGCGGUAAGGCCCUUUCGGGGGUACACGAGCGGCGAACGGGUGAGUAACACGUGGGUGACCUGCCCUCAGCUCUGGGAUAAGCCUGGGAAACCGGGUCUAAUACUGGAUAUGACUCCAUGACGCAUGUUGUGGGGUGGAAAGCCUUGUGCGGCUGAGGAUGGGCCCGCGGCCUAUCAGCUUGUUGGUGGGGUGAUGGCCUACCAAGGCGACGACGGGUAGCCGGCCUCGAGAGGGCGACCGGCCACACUGGGACUGAGACACGGCCCAGACUCCUACGGGAGGCAGCAGUGGGGAAUCUUGCGCAAGUGGCGAAAGCCUGACGCAGCGACGCCGCGUGAGGGAUGACGGCCU